rnacentral:piRNA from 1 species
UCUACCUGUGCUUGGAGAUGAAGUCC